rnacentral:rRNA from 1 species
GGGGAAUUGUUCACAAUGGGCGCAAGCCUGAUGACGCAACGCCGCGUGGGGGAUGAAGGCCUUCGGGUCGUAAACCCCUGUCGAAUGGGACGAAUAGCCCGCGAUUUAACAGAACGCGGGAUUGACGGUACCGUUAAAGGAAGCCACGGCUAACUCUGUGCCAGCAGCCGCGGUAAUACAGAGGUGGCAAGCGUUGUUCGGAAUUACUGGGCGUAAAGCGCGCGUAGGCGGCUUUGUAAGUUAGAGGUGAAAGCCCGGAGCUCAACUCCGGAACUGCCUUUAAGACUGCAUCGCUAGAAUUGUGGAGAGGUAAGUGGAAUUCCGAGUGUAGAGGUGAAAUUCGUAGAUAUUCGGAAGAACACCAGUGGCGAAGGCGACUUACUGGACACAUAUUGACGCUGAGGUGCGAAAGCGUGGGGAGCAAA